CCUGUAUCUUCUAUCAGUUCUUGAUUUUGGGGCUUCUGGGGCUCUCAGGGUCUUUAUGUUUAAGAGCAGCUGAUGCACAGAGGAGGGUCAGUGUCUGAUUCUGAGCUGAGAUGCAUUUAAUAGUGUUCAGAGAAGAAUGAGCAUAGUCCCCUAACCCUUUACCAAGAGGCAAAAGUGCAGUCUGGGUAUUUGGGGUGUAGCCGUGUUCAAACGUGUUACGCAAGCCAGUCUGCUUAGCCUUGUCCUUAUCUAGCUUGUGUGCGGAGUGGGGAAAGGUCUCCUCCCUCCAUGAAAUUCCAUCACAUGUAACAGAAAACAGUCAAGAAGCUGGAAAAAUUCUAACAGUCCUGCUGAAGAGCGAAAAAGGGAGAUGAAAGAAAAUGGAGACCUGAGCAAGAGAGUGAGGAUAAUUUUGAGUGGGACAACUCCCUCUCUGUGUGUUUUUCAAGCAGUGUCACAGCGACUUGAAUUUGGAGCUCAGAAAAUGGGAAGCACUUCGUUAGAGGCCACCAGUUUGAUACAAGAAACUCGCUGCUCUGUAAAUCCCUGA
rnacentral:lncRNA from 12 species